rnacentral:rRNA from 1 species
AUACGGAGGAUCCAAGCGUUAUCCGGAUUUAUUGGGUUUAAAGGGUGCGCAGGCGGAAGAUUAAGUCGGCGGUGAAAUUUUGCAGCUCGACUGUAAAAGUGCCAUCGAUACUGGUUUUCUUGAGUGUGGAUGAAGUAGGCGGAAUUUGUGGUGUAGCGGUGAAAUGCAUAGAUAUCACGAGGAACUCCGAUUGCGCAGGCAGCUUACUAGGCCAUAACUGACGCUCAGGCACGAAGGCGUGGGGAUCAAACAGGAUUAGAUACCCUGGUAGUCCACGCAGUAAACGAUGAUUACUCGCUGUUUGCGAUACACAGUAAGCGGCUUAGCGAAAGCGUUAAGUAAUCCACCUGGGGAGUACGUUCGCAAGAAUGAAACUCAAAUGAAUUGACGGGG